rnacentral:rRNA from 1 species
AACGAACGCUCGCGGCAUGCCUAACACAUGCGAGUCGAACGAGGCCUUCGGGUCUAGUUGCGCACGGGUGCGUAACGCGUGGGAACCUGCCCUUAGGUUCGGAAUAACUCCCCGAAAGGGGUGCUAAUACCGGAUAAUGUCUUCGGACCAAAGAUUUAUCGCCCUUGUAUGGGCCCGCGUUGGAUUCGCUUGUUGGUAGGGUAAAAGCCUACCAAGGCUACGAUCCAUAGCUGGUCUGAGAGGAUGAUCAGCCACACUGGGACUGAGACACGGCCCAGACUCCUACGGGAGGCAGCAGUGGGGAAUAUUGGACAAUGGGCGAAAGCCUGAUCCAGCAAUGCCGCGUGAGUGAUGAAGGCCUUAGGGUUGUAAAGCUCUUUUACCCGGGAUGAUAAUGACAGUACCGGGAGAAUAAGCUCCGGCUAACUCCGUG